UGGGCAGAGUGAACCACUGGUCGAGGACUGCCACCCAGCGCGCUUGUGUGGCCAAGCGCAGCCACUGCACGGGUCCGUAGACGAGGGCCAUCCAGGCGAACACGUCCUUGAGGUUUGAUAUUCCAACACUCCGAGAACAAUUCAUCAUGAAGAUAAAGGUGCCAUAAAAUCAAUCCAGUGGAAAAUCCUUGUGCUCAGACCUGAAGCAAAUCCCAUCUGAAGACCUCACUUCUGGUUCCAGCUCCUCUGGACACGCCCCUUCCUGUCACAACACUAUAUAUCUGCCAUGUUGUCAUUUGUCUUUGUUUCAUUCUUGAGCUCCAUCUGUAAAGCAACCUAUUUUGGUUUUCUUUGCUUGGUUUUCAUGUAUAUGGGGGCUGCCACAUUGAUAUUCCCCCAACCAUUCAUAGUGGUUUCUUGUAUUUCUUUCAUUAUAUAUAUAUAUAGUGUAAAGAGGAGAUAUGACAGUGUCAAAGAAUUGGGGCACCACCCGGUGACUCCAUAUAAUUACCAAAGUUAUAAAUAAAC